rnacentral:rRNA from 1 species
AACGAACGCUGGCGGCAGGCUUAACACAUGCAAGUCGAACGGGCCCUUCGGGGUCAGUGGCAGACGGGUGAGUAACGCGUGGGAACGUGCCCUUCAGUUCGGGAUAACCCAGGGAAACUUGGGCUAAAACCGGAUACGUGCGAGAGCAGAAAGAUUUAUCGCUGAAGGAUCGGCCCGCGUCUGAUUAGCUGGUUGGUGGGGUAAUGGCCCACCAAGGCGACGAUCAGUAGCUGGUCUGAGAGGAUGAUCGGCCACAUUGGGACUGAGACACGGCCCAAACUCCUACGGGAGGCAGCAGUGGGGAAUAUUGGACAAUGGGCGCAAGCCUGAUCCAGCCAUGCCGCGUGAGUGAUGACGGCCUUAGGGUUGUAAAGCUCUUUCGCACGCGACGAUAAUGACGGUAGCGUGAGAAGAAGCCCCGGCUAACUUCGUGCCAGCCGCCGCAGUAA